rnacentral:rRNA from 1 species
CAGUAGCCGCGGGAAUACGGAGGGUGCAAGCGUUAAUCGGAAUUACUGGGCGUAAAGCGCACGUAGGCGGCUUGGUAAGUUAGAGGUGAAAGCCUGGAGCUCAACUCCAGAAUUGCCUUUAAGACUGCCGAGCUAGCAGGUGAGAGAGGUAAGUGGAAUUCCGAGUGUAGAGGUGAAAUUCGUAGAUAUUCGGAAGAACACCAGUGGCGAAGGCGGCUUACUGGCUCAUACUGGACGCUGAGGUGCGAAAGCGUGGGGAGCAAACAGGAUUAGAUACCCCGGUAGUCCCUGUCUCUUAUAC